rnacentral:rRNA from 1 species
AUUGAACGCUGGCGGAAUGCUUUACACAUGCAAGUCGAACGGCAGCACGGACUUCGGUCUGGUGGCGAGUGGCGAACGGGUGAGUAAUACAUCGGAACGUGCCCAAUCGUGGGGGAUAACGUAGCGAAAGCUACGCUAAUACCGCAUACGAUCUAAGGAUGAAAGCGGGGGAUCGCAAGACCUCGCGCGAUUGGAGCGGCCGAUGGCAGAUUAGGUAGUUGGUGGGGUAAAGGCUCACCAAGCCGACGAUCUGUAGCUGGUCUGAGAGGACGACCAGCCACACUGGGACUGAGACACGGCCCAGACUCCUACGGGAGGCAGCAAUGGGGAAUUUUGGACAAUGGGCGAAAGCCUGAUCCAGCCAUUCCGCGUGCAGGAUGAAGGCCCUCGGGUUGUAUACUGCUUUUGUACGGAACGAAAAGGCUCUGGUUAAUACCUGGGGCUCAUGACGGUACCGUAAGAAUAAGCACCGGCUAACUACGUGCCAGCCGCCGCUGUAACAC